rnacentral:rRNA from 1 species
GCAUAACGCGAAGAACCUUACCGGGGCUUGACAUCUUUCUGACCGCCUGGGAAACCAGGUCUUCUUCCUUCGGGAAGACGGAAAGACAGGUGGUGCAUGGUUGUCGUCAGCUCGUGUCGUGAGAUGUUGGGUUAAGUCCCGCAACGAGCGCAACCCCUAUUGACAGUUGCUAACAGUUCGGCUGAGAACUCUGUCAAGACUGCCGUUGAUAAGGCGGAGGAAGGUGGGGAUGAUGUCAAGUCAUCAUGGCCUUUAUGUUUAGGGCUACACACGUGCUACAAUGGUUGGUACAAAACGUCGCAAUCUCGUGAGAGGGAGCUAAUCGUAAAAAACCAAUCUCAGUUCGGAUUGAAGUCUGCAACUCGACUUCAUGAAGUUGGAAUCGCUAGUAAUCGCAGAUCAGAACGCUGCGGUGAAUACGUUCCCGGGUCUUGUACACACCG